rnacentral:misc_RNA from 1 species
GAAAUGCGAUAAGUAAUGUGAAUUGCAGAAUUCAGUGAAUCAUCGAAUCUUUGAACGCACAUUGCGCCCUCUGGUAUUCCGGGGGGCAUGCCUGUUCGAGCGUCAUUUUCACCCCUCAAGCUAAGCUUGGUAUUGGGUUUCUCGCCUUUCUUUACAGGAAGGCGUGCCCGAAAUUUAGCGGCGAUGCAGCCGAACUCCCUAGCGCAGUGACUUUUUACAACGCUACAAGGAGAUUUCGACUUUUGUAUUUGCCGGUCAACAACCAAAUUUUUUUACGAUUGACCUCGGAUCAGGUAGGGAUACCCGCUGAACUUAA